GGGGACGUUACGGAUUCGACAGGGAUGACUAGGGCUUAAGUUGCGAGUCGGAGGGAUCGUCUUCGUCAUCAACGUCAAGAAUUAUAACUGGCAAACAAAACAAUUUCGCUUUAGCAGCGUAAGCUAGCUAGCGGCUCCGCCUUUCCAUCGCCCAUGUGGAAUUGACCGGGGCUCAACUUUAGUGGGAUACGCCGGAGUUCACCGUCUGAGGACAAAGGAAGAGAAGAACCAGACUAGCUGUUCGGACGCCGGUCGAUAGGCAGAUGAUACAGCGAAACUCUAAUAUAUCGACUACACUCGUAGAAGCUUAAGUUGAGGUGUUUCUGGACGUGGGUUCGACUCCCACCGUCUCCACCA
rnacentral:tmRNA from 1 species